rnacentral:lncRNA from 1 species
UUUCGUAGACAAGAUUCUAAUAUUUUCAAUCAUCUUACCAUUCUUUUUUAAUAUUUAAAAAUAUAUAGCACAUAUGAUAUACAUAAGACCUGAACUCAGCCACCGUCCUUGAGCGAGAGGAGAACAGAUUGAGUGAGGAAAGGGAGACUACCGAACGAGAACGAAAACCGACCACUACACACCAGAGAAGAAAUCACUGUUGCUAACUUCAACACGGAACAACGAACUCCCAGAUCUACAAACAAUUGCAUCAGAGAGACCAAACGGAGAGAACAUCAAUCGAAAGAAGAGAAAGCGACGGAAUCCCUCAUGGAAGAGGUGAGAUAAACAGCCAGCCGGAGAAGAAGACACUAUAUAUUUUAUAUUUUACUUGUCUGUGUAACUGGACAGUUUGGUUUAAUUACGAAACAAAGAAGAAUGAGGA